rnacentral:rRNA from 1 species
UACGUAGGGUGCGAGCGUUAAUCGGAAUUACUGGGCGUAAAGCGUGCGCAGGCGGUUUUGUAAGCCAGGUGUGAAAUCCCCCGGGCUCAACCUGGGAAUGGCAGUGGAAACUAGGGGACUGGAAUCUGGCAGAGGGGGGUGGAAUGCCGCGUGUAGCAGUGAAAUGCGUAGAGAUGCGGCGGAACACCGAUGGCGAAGGCAGCCCCCUGGGCUGAGAUUGACGCUCAGGCACGAAAGCGUGGGGAGCAAACAGG